AGUGAACGCUGGCGGUAGGCCUAACACAUGCAAGUCGAACGGCAGCACAGGAGAGCUUGCUCUCUGGGUGGCGAGUGGCGGACGGGUGAGGAAUACAUCGGAAUCUGCUCUGUCGUGGGGGAUAACGUAGGGAAACUUACGCUAAUACCGCAUACGACCUACGGGUGAAAGCAGGGGAUCUUCGGACCUUGCGCGAUUGAAUGAGCCGAUGUCGGAUUAGCUAGUUGGCGGGGUAAAGGCCCACCAAGGCGACGAUCCGUAGCUGGUCUGAGAGGUAGAUCAGCCACACUGGAACGGAGACACGGUCCAGACUCCUACGGGAGGCGGCAGUGGGGAAUAUUGGACAAUGGGCGCAAGCCUGAUCCAGCCAUACCGCGUGGGUGAAGAAGGCCUUCGGGUUGUAAAGCCCUUUUGUUGGGAAAGAAAUCCAGCUGGCUAAUACCCGGUUGGGAUGACGGUACCCAAAGAAUAAGCACCGGCUAACUUCGUGCCAGCCGCCGCCGUAAAAC
rnacentral:rRNA from 1 species